CCCCAAUCUUUUUGCGGGAUACGGGGGGUGACCCGGUACUCUGGUCUGCGGCGCCCGCCGGAACGUGAUCCCUCCG
rnacentral:tRNA from 1 species